UUGUAGGUCAAGCUACAAAGGGCGCAUGGCGAAUGCCUUGGCGCUUGAGGCCGAUGAAGGACGCGGUUACCUGCGAAAAGAUCCGGGGAGUUGGUAGCAAACGGUGAUCCGGAUAUCUCCGAAUGGGGGAACCCAGCCGACGUAAGUUGGUUACCCGCACCUGAAUACAUAGGGUGCGCGGAGGGCACCGAGGGAACUGAAACAUCUCAGUACCUCGAGGAACAGAAAUUAUUCCCUUAGUAGUGGCGAGCGAAACGGGAAGAGCCCAAACCUGAUCCACGUGAUAGGCGUCAGCCGUUGUGGAUCGGGUGUCGUGAGGCGCGACGGCGGAUCUGACGAUCCGCGACGGAGUUCAAAAACGUGAUCGUUAGCGGAAGGUUGCCUGGAACGGCCCACCGAAGAGAGUGACAGUCUCGUACGCGAAAGCGAUCACGCUCCGGUCGAUGUCCUCGAGUACCACCCGGAAGGUCUCCAGGGUGGGAAACCGGGCAGACCAUUGUCCAAGGCUAAAUACCUCAAGCGACCGAUAGUGAACUAGUACCGUGAGGGAAAGGUGAAAAGCACCCCUGGCGGGGAGUGAAAUAGAAACUGAAACCGUGCGCCUACAAGCAGUCGAAGCGUGUUGCUGCGCAAGCAGUAGCGUGACGGCGUGCCUAUUGAAGAAUGAUCCGGCGAGUUAGCUGUAUGCGGCGAGGUUAAGGACUGACGUCCGGAGCCGAAGCGAAAGCGAGUCUGAAUAGGGCGUGGACCCAAAAGGUCCGUAGUCGCAUGCACUAGACCCGAAACCGCGUGAGCUACCCAUGGCCAGGCUGAAGCGGAGGUAAUACUCCGUGGAGGGCCGAACUCUUCAACGUUGAAAAGUUGAGGGAUGAGCUGUGGGUAGAGGCGAAAUGCCAACCGAACGCGGAGAUAGCUGGUUCUCCUCGAAAUAGUUCUAGGACUAGCGUUGCGCAUUCCCUCUUUGAGGUAGAGCACUGGAUGGGCUAGGGGGCUUACCGCUUACCAAACCCAACCAAACUCCGAAUGCGAAGAGGCGAAGCGUGGCAGUCAGUCUUCGGGGGCUAAGCUCCGGAGACAAAAGGGAAACAGCCCAGACCAACAGCUAAGGUCCCUGAAUCCAGGCUAAGUGGGAAAGGAUGUUGGAUCGCUCAGACAACCAGGAUGUUGGCUUAGAAGCAGCCAUCAUUGAAAGAGUGCGUAACAGCUCACUGGUCGAGUGAUCCAGCGCCGAAAAUCCAACGGGGCUCAAGCCUGGUACCGAAGCUUUGGAUGUGUGGAUCCUUCGGGGUCCAUGCGUGGUAGAGGAGCGUUCUCAGCGCAGUGAAGGUGGACCGUGAGGACCGCUGGAGUGCUGAGAAGUGCGAAUGCCGGAACGAGUAGCGAAACGCGUGUGAGAAACAUGCGCGCCGUAUGCCUAAGGUUUCCUGAGGAAGGUUAAUCCGCUCAGGGUCAGUCGGGCCUAAGACGAGGCCGAAAGGCGUAGUCGAUGGACAGCGGGUUUAUAUUCCCGCACCGCUCAAGA
rnacentral:rRNA from 1 species